UAUACAUCCUUGAAGCAUUUUAAGCAGAGAAGUACUAUGAUGCAUUUGCUGAUGUGAGGAAUAUGGACUGGAGGUAGUAGGGAGAUCAGUUAGGAGGCGACUGCAGCAGUCCAGGAGUGUUGUGAUCGUGGUUGCAGUCAAGGCAGCAGUAGUGGAGAUGGGGAGAAGAGGAAGUCACAUUGUUAGUCCAGAUUGUUGGACACUGAUUUUUGUUGAUCCUGCAUGCUUCCCACUUUCACCAGUCUCUACAGUUUCAGCACACAGAAAGGGACAACACAAUGUGAUAGGCCAAUUCCAUGAAUGAUGAGUCAAGGGUUAGCAGUUUCAGUCCAGGCUCUGCCACUAAAUCUUAACUAAUCUUAUGAAAAGAGCAUUUUCUCAUAAAAAACUAGGUCAUUAAUGAUGUUGUCUUUCAUACUAAAAUGAUAUAAUUCUAUGCUGUUUUCUGAAUGCUCCAGGAAAGGUGGCCAAUGAAUUCCUGAUGUCAAUAAACUCUUUUUUAUCUUUACCUUAUCUGAGCUCUCUGUAACACUAGGGACUUCACCAACCAUUCCUUUCCUCUUGAAAUUCUCAUUUUCCUGGGCUUCCAUGCCUCUACUCUCCUGAUUCCCCAAUUUUCUCUCUGGUCAGUUUUUCCCAGUCUCCAUUGCUGCUUCCACUCCCAUUUGCACAACUUCUAAAUGUUGGCCUUACCAGGAGUCUUACCGUGGGCACAUUCUAAUUCCACAUCUCUUCUGGGUCAUCUCUUUCAUAUUCAUGACUUCAGGUAUCUAGAUACUAUUUCUUCAGGUAUCUAGAUGCUAUUUUACAUAUUGCUUUUUUCUUUUUUUGAGACAGAGUCUUGCUCUGUUGCCCAGAGUAGUGACGCAAUCUCGGCUCACUGCAACCUCCGCCACCCAGGUUCAAGUGAUUCUCAUGCCUCAGCCUCCCAAGCAGGGGGGACCACAGGCUCAGGCCACCACACCCAGCUAAUUUUUGUAUUUUUAGUAGAGACAAGGUUUCACAUGUUGGACAGGCUGGUCUCAAACUCCUGACCUCAUGUGAUCCACCCACCUUGGCCUCCCAAAGUGCUGGGAUUACAGGGUGAUACUAUUUCACACAUUUCUAUCACCAGAUGAUAUCUUUCUCUCUUGAAUUCUGAACUUACGUAGUUAACGUUUACCUGGUCAUCUGUACCCAGCUAUGUCCUAAGUCCAAAAUUUAACUCAUUAACAUAUCCUCCAAAACAAUCUCCCCUCCUUGAUUCCUGUUUUGAUGACUUCUAUUUCUACCUACCCAACCUCCCAAGUCAGAUGCCUGAGAGUCAUUCUAAACUCCUUUCUCUCCUUGACUGUCCACAACCAAUCCCAAACACUUCCCUUCCCUUUCCUAAAUAUUUUUCAUGUUCUUAUCCACGUUGGAAGGCUUAUGAAAAAGGGUCACUAUUAGUAAUAAUGCAAAGAUAACCAGCGUAAACCAGUACGAUUCUGGGCAAACAGCAAUGUAUGAUUAGCCUAAAGUUGAGAAACAGAAAUAAUUCAUUCCAGAGUGGUUUGAGAAAGCACAUUGCUCUCGAAGAACUGAGAGAAUUACAGUCUGCUUGGUCUAGGAUGUGUGAUGGGGACUUAUACAGUGAGAGAUGAAGCUGGAAAAGUCAUUGCAAUACCAGAUUCUGCAGGUGUAAAAUGUUUCUCACCUUGAAAUUAUCCAUGAGUGGUAGACAGUACUGGUUGCUUGCUUAGAAUUCAUUUUCUUUCCUUCCUAGCAAAAGCCAUCUCCCAUGUAACCACAUGCUUCAGGAGAAGCUGACCCUACACCUAGCUCCACUGGUGAGUCUAAUUGGUCCAAGGGUCGUCUUGGUCCCUUUGCCAGAGAUUGGCUUAUGGGGUGAAUGAUCCAACUCCAGCCAAUGAAACAUUAGGGGAAUCUGCUGAAGGAUUUCCAAAAAGAGUUUCCUCAUUCCAAACAGAAAACCAUAAGAAAGGAAUGUCAUGCCUAUAAUUGCUGCAGCUAUUUUAAUUCCAAGUAUGAGGUUGAAACAAUCAUGGAUGGCCAAGUGAAGAGAUGGAAAAAGCAGGAUUCAGGAUAACUUUGUGAGUUGCUAAGUUACCAGCCCCUGCCCUACUUCUGGACUUCUGAAAUAUGAUAUGAUACUUGCUUUCUUACUUAAGUUGGGUUUUUCUGUUACUUAUAGCCAAUGACACUCCGAUAUGCCAUGAAAUUUAAGAAUGUGAAGUAAUGGCCUUGACUUUCGCAGAACUGGAAGGAGUGUGACUGCCAUGUCACUUACUGUCACUAUCACUUGUUUGACAAUUACGGCUGCUAUUUAUCUUACCUUGUGUUGUUGCUUAUCCUUCCAUAUGAUUAUGUUGAAUAUCCAUCUAAUCUGGAACUUUAAAAAAUCAAAGUCAGUGAUAGAUCUUUUACUUCUUUGUAGGCCCAUAAUCCAUUACAUAACCCACACAUUUUUGUCAAUUAUUGACUUCCCCCUUAUUCUACCCACAUAGAUUUUUUUGGAAGAUGACCAAAAUGCUAUCUCUAUUUGGAGAUAAUAAUUAGUCUCAUCUUCAUUGGCUUCUUCUCGAAUGCGGAGGGAAUUAUCGGAUGAGUACAUUGGAACAUGGUCGCCAUGUGGCCUGCUGCCCCCGUGUACCACUUGGAGACCAGCCUAGCAUGGAAAUGACCAGAUGUUGGAAGCUGAGCUACUGGAAUGGAAGCAGUGGCUCAACUCACAUCAGUACCCAGAUACACAGAUGCUCCGGGAUCUGAGGAAGUGACCUAUAGAAAAUGAAAAAUGACCAGGUAAAGGCAAUACGAAGGGAAGUAGAGGGGCUUAUUAGGCAGCUCUGGACAAGCAGAGAAAAGUGAUGGUUCAACACGUAGGGUGCGCCAAAAAUGGGCUUGUUUCACUGGUUAUUUGAACACAGAAGCAGGGCUGUCUCCCUCUCUCUCUCUCUUUCUCUCCAUUCAUUAAUUAUUUUUCUGAGUAGGCUAAUAAUAUAUGCUUUUUGUGAAACAUUUGAGAAAUGGAAGAAAGUAUAAGAAAAAAAUAAAAAUCACUUAUACAUGUAUCUUCUAAUAUUUCAUUAUAUCUAUACAGGCCCUUUUCUUUCUAGUUUUGUGAUCAUUUAUUCAGUCAACAUUUCCACAAAUAUUUAAUGCAUUUUGUAUGUGUCAGGCACCAUACCAGGCACUAAGAAUAUAGUCGUGAUCAAUAAUUGGCAUAAUUCCUUAUCUCAUAGAACUUUGGGUCUAGCAGAAGUGACAUAUAAACACACAACUGCAUUAAGAAUUAUUUAAUCUCAAAUUUCACAAGCUCUGCAAAGAACAAGUACUAAGUCUUCGGGAAGAAUUGGGAAGUCUGGAUGUAGGGAGUGAACCUAAAAGAAAAACUUUGAAGCUGAGACUAGACUAGUCAGAAACUGCUGGCCAGGGGUGAAUGUGUUGGUCCUAGAGGGGUAGAGUAGGGGCACGCUAGGAAUAGAAAGGAAAAUUGCUGGUGGAGGGAACAGCUUGCCUGAGGUCCUGAUGAGGAGACAGUGACUAGAUGGGGGUGAAAUGGCUUUGUGGAAAUUAGAAAGAAAAAUAGGAGCCAGAUCCUACAAGACAAGUGUUGACAAACAAUAGCCCAGAGGCCAAAUCCAGCACCCCACCUGUUUUUGUAAAUAAAAUUUUAUUGGAACAGAGCCACACCCACUCAUUUAUAUGUCUGUGGUUGUUUUCACACCAUGCUGGCAGUGAUGAAUAGUUGUUACAGAGACUGCAGGGUCCACAUAGCUUAAAAUAUUUACUAUCUGGCCCUUUCCAGAAAACUUUGCUGACCUCUGCUAUGGGGUUUUGUGGCUGAGCGUAUGGUGGAAUUCUUUUAUCACAAGUACAAUGGAAAGGCUUUGAGACGAAAGCAAGGAAGACAUCAUCAGAUUUUUCUUUAAAAGAACUCUAGCUAUGGAAGCAUGUAGAGAUUAGAACUGGGGACUCUGGGUGGAUAUUGGGCAUCUAAGAGUAUCCAGGAGACAGUGGUUGAUGGUUUGGACUCCAUUUGUGCCAAGUGGGCACAGGAAAAAAGAGACAGAUUUGAGAUCUCUUUAGCAUUUGUAUCAGACAGGACUUGGUGGCUGAUUGGGGAGGGGAAGUAAGGAUAGAGAGGUGUUCAGGAACACCCAGGUUUCUGCCUGGUGCACCUGCAUGGAUGAGGGUGUCAUCAACCAGAUGGGGAGCCAUGGAGGAGAAGCAAGAUUGAGAGGGAAAGUCAGGAGGUUUUAGUGCCUGUCUAGUUUAAUCACAAUGGGUAAUACAAUAAAUCCCCUAUUAAUGAACAUGUAGAUUUUUUCUAUUAUUUUUCUUUUUUAAAUAAUGCUGCAAUGCAGCAAAAGGAACAGUCAGCAGAGUAAAUAGACAACCCACAGAGUGGGAGAAAUCUUCACAAUCUAUACAUCUGGCAAAGAACUAAUAUCCAGAAUCUACAGCGAACUCAAACAAAUCAGUAAGAAAAAAUAAACAAUCCCAUCAAAAAGUGGGCUAAGCACAUGAGUAGACAAUUCUCGAAAGAAGACAUACAAAUGGCCAACAAACAUAUGAAAAAAAUGCUCAAAAUCACUAAUGAUCAGGGAAAUGCAAAUCAAAACCACAAUGCAAUACAACCUUACUCCUGCAAGAAUGACCAUAAUAAAAAAAUAAAAAAAAUUAGAUGUUGGACUGGAGGCAGUGAACAGGGAACACUUCUACACUCCUGGUGGGAAUGUUAACUAGUACAGCCAGUAUGGAAAACACUGCGGAGAUUCCUUAAAGAACUGAAAGUAGAACUACCAUUUGAUCCAGCAAUCCCACUACUGGGUAUCUACCCAGAGGAAAAGAAGUCAUUAUUUGAAAAAGACACUUGCACAGGCAUGUUUAUAGUGGCACAAUUCACAAUAGCAAAAUCGUGGAAGCAACCCAAAUGCCCAUCAGUCGACGAAUGAAUAAAGAAACUGUAUAUAUAUAUAUAUAUAUAUAUAUAUAUAUAUAUAUAUACACACACACAUAUAUAUACACACACACAUAUAUAAACAUAUAUGUAUAUACACACAUAUAUAAACAUAUAUAUACGCAUACAUAUACAUACACACACACACACACACACACACACACACACACAAUGGAAUACUAUGCAGCCAUAAAAAGGAAUGAAUUGACAGCAUUUGCAGUGACCUGGAUGACAUUGGAGACUAUUAUUCUAAGUUAAGUAACUCAGGAAUGGCAAAGCAAACAUCAUAUGUUCUCACUGUUACGUGAGAGCUAAGCUACAAGGAUGCAAAGGCAUAAGAAUGAUACAAUGGACUUUGGGGACUUGGGGGAAAGGGUGGGAGGGGAGCAAGGGAUAAGAGACUACAAAUAUAGUGUGGUGUGUACCGCUCGGGUGAUGGGUGCACCAAAAUCUCACAAAUCACCACUAAAGAACUUACUCAUGUAACCAAACACCACCUGUACCCAAAUAACUUAUGGAAAAAAUAAAAUAAAAUAAAAAUAAUGCUGUGAUGAAUUCAUUUGUGCAUAUAUCUCAUUGUUUCCUUAGACUAC
rnacentral:lncRNA from 10 species